ensembl:lncRNA
AAAAGUAAACAAAUUGUAAUGUUCAGUAAUGUCCUAUAAACACUGAUUAGAGCCUAUAAUACUUACUAUAACAACUUCAUCAUUUGCAAAUUCCUUCCUCCUACCCCAAUGUGUCAAUAUUUUAGGCAGGGGGAAUGAAUCGCCUCAUCAAAUUAAAAUAGUCCUGGGUGCAGUUCUGUCUUUUCGCUUUGAUUUUUAAUUUUUAUUUCUAUGCAUUUUUUGUUUGUUGGCUGGUUUGAGAAAGUCUCACUAUGUAGUCCAGGCUGACCUGGAGUUCACAAUCCUCCAGGAUUCAGGUUUCUGCCACCAAGCUCAACUAACUUCUGCCUUUUCUCCCUCCCUCUAGUUACCUUACCUCCCAUUUCUCCAUCUUUCUAUCUCUAAUAUUCUCCCUCUUUCUUCCAGAAAUUGAACCCAGUGGUGCUACAUCCACUGAGCUACAUCCCCUGCCCCCUUAUUUUAUUUUGAGACAGGGUCUCACUAAAUUUCACAGGCUGGUAUUGAAUUUGCGAUCCUCCUGCCUCUGCCUCCCAAGUAGCUGGGAUCCCAGGUGGUCAUGUGCCAGUCUUCCAGUGGCCUCGGGUUCUUCUUGCUGUCAUAACUGGUCUCCUGGGGCAUCAACAAAGACAAAACAGAGAAAUCCUUCUGUAAAAAGAACAGCAUUUAUCCCCAGUGGCUUCUCACAAGCUUUCAAAGGGAAAAGGUGGAAUGGGUCACUCCUCCUAGAGCGAGUCCAGCCCAUGCUCAGGAUGCGGAGCCAUUGGCCAAGGGAUCCCGGCUCCAGCAGUCCCGCUCCCCUCCGUACCUUAACAAACAUGAAAAACAAGUGCAGUUUCUUCAUGGGCCCCAACUCCACCCUCUCAGGUGGAAAUGUUUCUUUGGAGAUUCAGCGUUUGCAAAGUUUCUCCCACCAGAUGACCAGGGCUGGCCGGGUGUCAGUGACGUGGCCGGUUCCUCUGAGAAACAGCAAAGACUUUGUCACGAAGGUGACUCAGGUAUCAGUGUCUACGUGAAAGGAAGGACUUCUCUCACACUGAGGGCGGUGGCUUUCCGAUCGCGGGGCCCGAGAAGGAGUAAGAGGAGCCGGCGAGGCGAUCGGCGCCCAGGGCGGUGCACUGAGGCCCUGCAGUCUCCGCCCGUGUCACCCUCUGUGAUGCUCCCCGGUGUCCUCGCCGCCGGCCCCAGCAUCACAGCCACACACCUCGGACUCAGCUUCAUCGUCAGGCGCGGGUGGUUUCCCCGCCCUGCAGACGGCAGCAGCGCUGUCUCUCAGCGGAGAGCAGAGAUGGAGGGCAGCGGCCCUCCUGACCCUCCUCCAGGUCCCUGCAGCGGGCCGCGUUCUCUCCUUACGUCCCCUCGGUUCCAGGACACUUGUGCCGGGACCCCCCCCAGCUCCCAAUCUUCUCAAGGACUCCCCUGCGUGCCGCCUCUUUUCUAGCCUCUGAUCCCCUCUCUGUCUCUACUGGACCAUCCUCAUUACUGUAAGAAGAUACUCUCUUCUAGCGGGAAACACGGCAAAAAGCAAAAGGAGCCGGAACUGUGUUUCACCUGAGGCUUCACUUCUGUGCGGCGCCGUGCAGCAAAGGCCCUCGACGGUGCCCUCUUCCUCCCCAUUCUCUGCUCAGCUAGCUCAGCCUCCCUGCAGCUGGGACACAGCUGACACCGCCGCCCGGCAACACUGCUCCGGACGCCGUUCUCGCCACACUGACCAUUCCUUCCACUUUACUUUCCUGGCUCCUCCUCCUCCCAACCUGUCAAUAUACAGGAGUCCUAGGGCUCCGUCC